AUGUGCCUGGGGGGCAAGGCAAAAGAGAAAGUCCUUCGAGGCCAGAGACACACACCCCACACCCCCCCGGGACUCGGCAUUUCCCGCCCAAUUCUCCCCCCGCCGGGGGAGGUGGAUUUUGGCAGCCCCACAGGGAGGAUGCGGGGGGGGGGGGGGGCGGGCGAGGUGGGAGAAGGGCAGGGACCAGUGCCCCAGCGCCGAGGGGCUUGGCCUGUCCCCGUUCGAAAGGCAGGAGAAAGGGGAAAAAGAAAUAACAACAACAAUAAUAAUAAUAAUAACGAUAACAACAACCACCCCCCCCCCCCAGAGAAUAAAGGCAGCCCUGUGGAGGCCCUGCUGGGGGAGGCUGCGCCUCGGGCCUGCGGCGGGCACACAGGAGGCCGGCGGGGACGCCCCGGGCGAGCUAACGGGACCGCCCCGGGGCGGCGAGGGACGGGGCAAGGGGACCCGCCGCUCCCUCCCCGGGCAGCCCCCGCCGCCAGGGCCUCUUCCACGCCGCCUUGCCUUUCCCCCUCCCUCCCCCGCCACGUUUCCCCCGGGCCCGGCACACGCCGCCGGCGCCACCAUCACCGCCGCCUCCCGGCGCGGGCAGGCCCGGUGGCGGAGGCCGCCCCUCGGCGGUGGCGGGCUGGCUUUGUCUCCCGAGCGCCUCCACCGCGCUGUGCCGCUGCCCCCGCCCCCCCCUCCCCCGGCGCAGCCUUCCUUCCCCGCGGUAAAGCCCGCUUUCUCCGGGGCCCUCCCUCCGUGCAACCACCGGGGCCGCGACCCCGCUCCGCCCGUUACCCCCCGCCGCCAAGGAAGCGGCAGCCUAUAGACCCGGGGGGGGGGGGGNNNNNNNNNNNNNNNNNNNNNNNNNNNNNNNNNNNNNNNNNNNAGAGAGAGAGAGGGAGGGAGGGCGGGGGUGGGUGGGUGGAUGGGGAGGGAGGGAGGGAGCGGCGGCGCGGCGCAGGGCGGGCGCGGCGGCGGCUGGUGGGGCUGGGCUGGGCUGAGCCGAGCAGUGCGCGCCGGCGGCUGACGGGGCACACAGAGCGCAGGACGCCGCCGCCUACGCGCCAGCUGCAACCUCCGACCGUCGUCGCCGCUCAGCCACAGGAAGGGGGGCCAAGACGUCUCUCCAACGCGGGGCUAGCGCAGGACCGCGCCAGGCGUCCAAACGAAGGAAGAUGCCUCGCGGCGACAGAGAAAGCGACUGGGUGA
rnacentral:lncRNA from 1 species